rnacentral:misc_RNA from 1 species
UCUCCGUUGGUGAACCAGCGGAGGGAUCAUUACAGGACUCGCAAGACUCCUUCACCCUGAGAACCUCACUACAAGCACGUUGCUUCGGCGGGUGUCCCGGCGGGGGUUUUCCCUCGCCGGGGCGCACAGCCCGCCGGCAGCCUACUAUACUCUGUCUCUUUGCGUUGGCAUCUCGAGAAAAAACAAACAAGUUAAAACUUUCAACAACGGAUCUCUUGGUUCUG